rnacentral:rRNA from 1 species
UACGGAAGGCAGCAGUAAGGAAUAUUGGUCAAUGGGCGCAAGCCUGAACCAGCCAUGCCGCGUGCAGGAAGACGGCCCUCCGGGUUGUAAACUGCUUUUAUACCGGAAUAAACCUCCCUACGUGUAGGGAGCUGAAUGUACGGUAGGAAUAAGGAUCGGCUAACUCCGUGCCAGCAGCCGCGGUAAUACGGAGGAUCCGAGCGUUAUCCGGAUUUAUUGGGUUUAAAGGGUGCGUAGGCGGCCUGUUAAGUCAGGGGUGAAAGACGGUGGCUCAACCAUCGCAGUGCCCCUUGAUACUGACGGGCUUGAAUUAACUAGAGGCAGGCGGAAUGUGACAAGUGCGGUGAAAUGCAUAGAUAUGUCACAGAAACACCGAUUGCGAAAGGCAGCUUGCUAUGGUUAUAUUGACGCUGAGGCACGAAAAGCGUGGGGAUCAAAACAGGAUUAGGAUACC